AUGAGUUUCUGGCUGUGCUGAUGCCCUGAGCAGAAUGAGUACUGUAAUGUUCAACGAAUGCAAAUGUACACCCCUGCAGAAAAACAUUGCUAAGCAGGUCACAAGCACAUGUUGCAUUUUUGACACUAUGUUGGUGUGACGCCCCUUCAUGCUGUUUAACCGCAAACAUCUGUCCUGCUCCAGCAAGACCCUGCUGCCUCACUUGCCUGCCAGACUCCCUAUGGUCCACCAGCUCAUCAGAACGGUUUUGCUGGAUAAAUGGUCCACCAGCUGAACCAGCAGAAAACAUGUGCUGAGCGGUACAAACCGGCAUGGACCAGCACAAAAUUCAUGUUGCUAACAGAUUUUUUAGAAUGAGAAAGGAACCCACUCCGCAGCUGAGGAACGACUUACCAGCCCACUGGCCAUAUGUCCUCAAGUCCGUUUGCCAGAUCUCAGAGAUCAUGUACGCCUUGAAUCCGUGCCAACACAGCCAAGACCACCUCAGCAGGAAAUAUA